rnacentral:miRNA from 18 species
UAGCGCCCUUUCCUCCACCCACUUGGCUGCCACGUGGCAGCUGAGCGAGGGCCUCGGGGUGACGC